AUUGAACGCUAGCGGGAUGCUUUACACAUGCAAGUCGAACGGCAGCACGAAAAGAGCUUGCUCUUUUUGGUGGCGAGUGGCGAACGGGUGAGUAAUGUAUCGGAACGUACCCAGUAGCGGGGGAUAACUACGCGAAAGCGUGGCUAAUACCGCAUACGCCCUACGGGGGAAAGGGGGGGAUCGCAAGACCUCUCACUAUUGGAGCGGCCGAUAUCGGAUUAGCUAGUUGGUGGGGUAAAGGCUCACCAAGGCAACGAUCCGUAGCUGGUUUGAGAGGACGACCAGCCACACUGGGACUGAGACACGGCCAAGACUCCUACGGGAGGCAGCAGUGGGGAAUUUUGGACAAUGGGGGAAACCCUGAUCCAGCCAUCCCGCGUGUGCGAUGAAGGCCUUCGGGUUGUAAAGCACUUUUGGCAGGGAAGAAACGGCGCUGACUAAUACUUGGCGCAACUGACGGUACCUGCAGAAUAAGCACCGGCUAACUACGUG
rnacentral:rRNA from 1 species